UACGUAGGGUGCGAGCGUUAAUCGGAAUUACUGGGCGUAAAGCGUGCGUAGGCGGUUCGUUAAGUUCGUUGUGAAAGCCCCGGGCUCAACCUGGGAAUGGCAAUGGAAACUGGCGGGCUGGAGUAUGGCAGAGGGGGUGGAAUUCCGCGUGUAGCAGUGAAAUGCGUAGAGAUGCGGAGGAACACCGAUGGCGAAGGCAGCCCCCUGGGCCAAUACUGACGCUCAUGCACGAAAGCGUGGGGAGCAAACAGG
rnacentral:rRNA from 1 species